CGGGGGGGGGGGGGUAGGGCAGAGGAGAUCCUCGCCCCCUUCGGCCCAGACAGAGCUGCAGGGGGGACAGGGAGGGUCAUCCCGUCUGGAUGCUUUGCAGGAGCCGGACGUGGCUGGCAGCGAUCCCGACAGNAGUUGGCAGCUAGCGAUGGGGCCACCGGCAAAGUGGCUUUGGGCGUCACUGCGGGCCCCUGACGCCUUCUUUCCCUGGCGCCCUGACGCGGGCGUGCAGGCCCCUGCUGACCGGGCCAGGCGAGCAUCCCCUGUCGCGUGGGGCGGCGCCCCUGUCGCGGUGCGGCCGAGGACGGCCAGGGCGCAACCGUACAGGCACCGCCGGAGCGGCCGGAGACGCCGCCGGAGCGGCCAGAGCCGCCGUGGGCAUGCUGCACCAGAGCGUCCACUGCCAUGCCAUCCGCCCGGCC
rnacentral:lncRNA from 1 species